GUGGCUGUAGCUCAGCGGCAGAGCGCCUGCCUGUGGAGCAGGAUGUCGGGGGUUCAACUCCCCUCAGUCACC
rnacentral:tRNA from 1 species